UUCUCUCUCCUUCUCUCUCUCCACCACGACAGGCCCCGCCGACGCUAACACUUCACAGCACCGCUAACCACCACCACCGUAAUCAUCAUCAUCGCCGUCGCCAAUGCCGUCGCAAU
rnacentral:lncRNA from 1 species